AGGUAGGUUUGGCUGAGAGUCUGUGACUGGCCCAAAGUCACCCAGUUGGCUCCAUGGCUGAGUGGGGACUAGUACCCAGGUCAUCUGAUUCCUAGUCCCAUGCUCCUAACCACUACAACACACUGCUUCUCCACUGGCGUUCCACUAGAUUUGGAAUGAAUUUGUCUGUUCUUCAGUGGAAAGGGAUUCCAUUCAGUGUGGUGUACCCUGUACUCUGUGCUUGGGCAUAUCUCAAUCAUUUCAAAUGUUUUAAUAUACCAAAAAUAUGUUCCUCCUAACUGCAACUUAAAUAUGAUCAGACAAAUGUGUAUCCUAAUUUCAUACAUGCCAAUGGCAAAUGUGUUUCUCUAGAUACAAUGGAGGGCAUUCCUCCAGCCCUGUGCCUCAUGCCUUGCACAAGAUUCUCAGAAGCCUCUUCCUUAGCACAUUGGUGGGCCCCUCCCAUGGGGAAGUAGGGUGGUGGCACUGACAACUUCACUUGGGUUGGAGCUUUAUUGGAAUCUGAUGAUUUUUAGAUAAGUAGACUGAAAUGUGAUCACACUAAUUCCACAUGCUUUGGCAUGUGGAAGUCCAGGCAAUGGUAUGUUUGGAAGAUGAUGAUCAAUAUUGCCUGACUGACAGCUUUCUCUAGGCCCAGGCAAGUCAGAGAUGAGCACAAGGUAAUGAUAGUGGUGGAGCAGAAGGCAGUGUGAGAGUUUUAAAAAAUACUGUGUGGUGAAUGUUCUAAUGCAGGAGAUGACUUUCUUGCCCAAGAAUUACCAGCAUAUCCUGGCCUUGACAUUUGCAGUGCAGGAGAUCAACAACAACCCACACAUCCUGCCAAACCACACCUUGGGCUUUUGCAUAUAUGACAGCUAUUUCACGGCCAAGUGGACAUAUCAGGCCAUCUUGCGGCUGAUCUGUGCAGCAGAGAGACAGAGCAAUGAAGGAUAGAACCCUCCAUUUCUUACUCUCCACAACGCUCUGCAUUCACCAUCAGCAGUGGGUACCAAAGUGUUUUGGAUCCUUGGACAUAUUUUGAAAUUUCAGAAAAAGGAUAUGCAUGAGUGGAUCACACUUUUGAUAUCUUCCUGUCUUGUCUCCAGAUCUUAAGCUGAACCUCAAUCAGUACAAAAGUUUAUUUUGUGUGUCUCUUGGAUAAUGCAAUGGCUCCACAAUAAAUAAUUAUUGAGAUCUGCUAAUUGUUUAUACUGGACUUCUUUGGCAUUGGCACAUUGUAAUAGUUGCUCUUUUGUGUACAAGGGGAAAUUAUGACACAUGCAGAUUUUGCACUGAAUGGUGCCAUAUUAGACAUCCCAUUUCAGGCACCAUUGGAGGUGCACACAUGUGUCAUAACACAAUACUGGUCCCUGUAAUGUGUUAUUGUUGAAAAGUUUUCUGAGGUUGUAUGUGCAAACGUUCUGAAAAGAUUAAAGCUGUCAGAAGAAUUUCUGUAGUA